CCUACGGGUGACAGCAGUGGGGAAUAUUGCGCAAUGGGCGAAAGCCUGACGCAGCGACGCCGCGUGAGGGAUGAAGGUCUUCGGAUCGUAAACCUCUGUCAGCAGGGAAGAACGGUCACUGUGCUAAUCAGCAGUGAAUUGACGGUACCUGCAAAGGAAGCACCGGCUAACUCCGUGCCAGCAGCCGCGGUAGUACGGAGGGUGCGAGCGUUAAUCGGAAUUACUGGGCGUAAAGCGCUCGUAGGCGGUAUGUCAAGUCAAGGGGGAAAUCCCCGCGCUCAACGUGGGAACUGCCGUUGAAACUGGCAAACUGGAGUGUGUGAGAGGAUAGUGGAAUUCCAGGUGUAGGAGUGAAAUCCGUAGAUAUCUGGAGGAACAUCAGUGGCGAAGGCGACUAUCUGGCACAUAACUGACGCUGAGGAGCGAAAGCGUGGGUAGCAAACAGGAUUAGAUACCCCAGUAGUC
rnacentral:rRNA from 1 species